rnacentral:rRNA from 1 species
ACGGAAGGCAGCAGUGAGGAAUAUUGGUCAAUGGGCGGAAGCCUGAACCAGCCAAGUCGCGUGAAGGAUGAAGGUAUUAUGUAUUGUAAACUUCUUUAGCCAGGGGGCAAUAAGGCGUAUGUAUACGCCGAUGAGAGUACCUGGAGAAUAAGGAUCGGCUAACUCCGUGCCAGCAGCCGCGGUAAUACGGAGGAUCCGAGCGUUAUCCGGAUUUAUUGGGUUUAAAGGGUGCGCAGGCGGCUUUUUAAGUCAGUGGUUAAAUCGUGACGCUCAACGUCAUCACGCCAUUGAUACUGGAGAGCUUGAUUGCGGUCGAGGUUUGCGGAAUUCGUCGUGUAGCGGUGAAAUGCAUAGAUAUGACGAAGAACACCGAUUGCGUAGGCAGCAGACCAGGCCGUAAAUGACGCUCAUGCACGAAAGUGCGGGGAUCAAACAGGAUUAGAUACCCUGGUA